UGUUCCUCUUCUUCUUCAACCUUUUGAGCAAAAUUGGUUUGUUCACCACCUUGCUCAUCUCUUUGUUUAUUCCAACACCUAUCUUCUUUGUGCCCAUACCUUUUGCAGUAGUAACAUUGGAUGCUUCACAGUCAUGCGUAGUGGUAAUACUGCUUCCUAGAUUUUCUAUUGUAGUUCCUAUUUUCUAGUUCCUGUAAAGUAGUGGGUUUGAUUGUGUCAAAGUAUAGUUAGUGCUUUGUUAGUGGGUCAUCAUUCCAUUACUUAGUUAGGUGCUUUAUUUUAGGAGUUGGUUUGUGUUUAGUUGCCUAUUAAUAGGCUGUCAACAUUUCAAUAAGCGUUGAGUAUUUUUGUCUAGGUUAUUUUUUAUUAUUCAAGUUAAUGAAGCAGUAAGUUAAUAGAAAAAAAAAAAAAAAAAAAAAAAAUUGUGAUUCUAUACAAAGUCGUGGUGAAUAGAAGCGCUUCACAAAGUCGUGGUGAAGAGAAGUGCUUCACAAGGUCGUGGUGAGAGAAGUGCUCCGAAAAUGUGACGUUGGUGAGAAGUGCAUCAAAACUGUGAAGUUGGCGAUAAUGUGCAUCAACAAAAAAAAGUAAAAAUGUUGGUGAUAAUGCGCAUCAACAUAUUGAAAUGUUGACAAAGUGGGUUCGAUAUGACGCAAAAUAGGAUGUUACAAAUGGCUGCUACAACUUUUGGAGCAAAGGGGUGUGUUGGAUUAUGCUCCAAAAGUAGUCAAAUGAUUUUCCUAACAAUUUGGAUUAGUGGCUAGUAGUAAGUUAGUGGGUAAUUUAUUUUAUAAUUAAAAUGUGAUUAGUGAAUAGUAGUUAUGGAGGAUAUGGUAUAGGACAUGUUUUCCACUACUUAGUAGUGUGGCUAAUUUUUAGGUUAGUUACUUUUUAUUAUAAGCCUAUAAAAGGCACUUAUUGUAUUGAGAUUAAUUGGGCAAGUUUAAUGCAAAACUUCUUCAUAUUUUAUUCAAUCUCCUCUCUACUCUAAAAACUAUCAAAAAAAGGUUUGAGUCCAAAGCUGCUUUGGCUGAUCCGGAAAAACAGCGUGUUUUCAAUAGUUGCUAGCUCUCCCGUGUUGGAUGUUAUCGUUUUUGAAAGAAUUCCGUUCAUUCAGCCUGCGAUACAAAGUCAUUACAGUCUUCCACUCGAGAAGUACUGUACUAAAAGGAUUGACGUUUAUAAUCUCCAAGUCAUAACUGCUGAUCAAAUAUUACCCUGCGACGUAUGCCACCAACGCUGAAUCAAAUAGCUCCCGCUCCUCUGUUGCUGCCACCACCACCGGAGAAUGAAGUUCCUGUUGAGAAUGAAGUUCCGGUGGAGAAUGAAGUUCCGAUGGAGAAUGAGACUCCGGUUUCAAUGCCUGUCUCAGAGGAGGUAUUAUCCACAUGUCAACCUCAACCUCCAUCAGACCUUUUGGAAUCCUGUUUUGAGGGCAUGACCCUCAAUCAGCCGGAAGAGCAGCAGCCGCGGAGGACAGGCAGAAAUAGAGUGCCAAGUCAGAAGGUUGUGGAGGCAGCGUCAACAGCGGUGGCGGGCCGAGGCAGGGGCCGGAGCAGGGGCAAUGAUGAGGGCGAGGUUGAGUGAACAAGUAAAUUGCUUGGUUGUUGUUCAUCUUCCUGCUGUUCAUAUUAAUCUUAUUGUGCUGGUUGUUCGUCUGGUAUUUUGGUUAUCUGAUUGGGAAUAUGGUUGGUUUUUUGGUUGGAUCUAAUGACUGCAUUGGGGAGAUAUGUUUGAUGGAUGAUGAUGUAGCUUUGCAUAUGAUUUGUUUGAUGGAUGAUGAUGCACUUUCAAAACCCUAAUCAAAUCCAAAACUACACUUGCAUGUUUGUUAAUUUAUUUUUUAUUUUACUACUAUUUUAUUUUCCUGAUAGUUGUGCAUUAACCUGUUUGAUUAUUUUAUUUUGCAUGUUUGGAUUUGAUUAGGGUUUUGAAAGUUUUGUAGUUUUGGAUUUGUUUGAUGGAUGAUUUUAUAAAAAAUAAAACUCAACUCAACACUCAUGGAGUAAUAAAAAAUUCUUAGUUAGUAAGUUUGUUUUGUUUGGUCGUGAAGUGUAGAACUCAAAUUGUCCACUCUAUUGCUUAUUUAUAUGUAUUUUGAUCUUCAUGAUUACUGGAACUUGUGUAUGAGCAUGUUAAUGAAGUUAAAAGAAAGAACUAGUAUUUCUAGGCUUCUAGCUGCAGGCUAUAUUAUUUUAGAUAGAUUUUGACUAGAUGAUGAAUGGAAUUGAAUAUGGAGUAUGCAUUAAUCAAGCUUCCAGGACAAGCAUAGGAAGUACUUGUAUUAACUAUGAAGUACUAGUAUUGUUAGAAACUUAGAAUCUUCCUAUCUAUAUCUCUCUUAUAUAAGUGAAGGAGGAGAAAGAUGGUGUCCCUCCACAAAAAUACUUGAGUAUCCUUGAUGAUUUCAAUUUUCAAAUAUAAUCCUUUUAAAUAAUCUUUUUUUUCUAUCUUAUUUGCUCAUAUGUAUUUUUUUUUUUUUUUUUUGAGGAGUAUUUGCUCAUAUAUAUUGAACAAGUUAUCAGUGGAAUGAAAUUUGAAAUUUCAAUUAAUUAUUGAAUGAAAGAGGUUAAUUUCCUUUCCUUCUCAUACUAGAUAUGUUAAAAAUGAAAUAAGUAUUAAAAAACUUCUAUCUAAAAUUUAAACUGGUAAUAUGAGUUGAUUAACAAACACAAUAAGAGCAUCAAAAAUUGGAUUUUAUAUUUAUAAUUUUAGUGAUAAUUUAUAUUUUGUAUCCUAACUAAAUACUGAUUAUAAUUUAGU